rnacentral:tRNA from 1 species
GCCCUGGUAGUGUAGUGGCCAUCAUGAAGCCCUGUCGAGGCUUCGACCCGGGUUCAACUCCCGGCCAGGGCG